rnacentral:rRNA from 1 species
GAUGAACGCUGGCGGCGUGCCUAAUACAUGCAAGUCGAGCGAACGGACGAUAAGCUUGUUUCUUUGAUGUUAGCGGCGGACGGGCGAGUAACACGUGGAUCACCUACUUAUUUGUCUUGGAUAAUUUCGUGAAACCGGUGCUAAUACCGGAUCAUAUUUUGUACCGCAUGGUUCAAAAGUGCAUGACGGCUUUGCUGUUUCUUAUAGAUGGUUCCGCGCUGCAUUAGCUAGUUGGUAAGGUAACGGCUUACCAAGGCAACGAUGCAUAGCCGACCUGAGAGGGUGAUCGGCCACACUGGAACUGAGACACGGUCCAGACUCCUACGGGAGGCAGCAGUAGGGAAUCUUCCGCAAUGGGCGAAAGCCUGACGGAGCAACGCCGCGUGAGUGAUGAAGGUCUUCGGAUCGUAAAACUCUGUUAUUAGGGAAGAACAUAUGUGUAAGUAACUGUGCACAUCUUGACGGUACCUAAUCAGAAAGCCACGGCUAACUACGUG